rnacentral:rRNA from 1 species
AAUCCCUACGGGAGGCAGCAGUAGGGAAUCUUCCACAAUGGACGAAAGUCUGAUGGAGCAACGCCGCGUGAGUGAAGAAGGGUUUCGGCUCGUAAAGCUCUGUUGGUAGUGAAGAAAGAUAGAAGUAGUAACUGGCCUUUAUUUGACGGGAAUUACUUAGAAAGUCACGGCUAACUACGUUCCAGCAGCCGCGGUAAUACGUAGGUGGCAAGCGUUGUCCGGAUUUAUUGGG